UACGGAGGGUGCGAGCGUUACUCGGAAUUACUGGGCGUAAAGCGUGCGUAGGUGGUUCGUUAAGUCUGAUGUGAAAGCCCUGGGCUCAACCUGGGAAUGGCAUUGGAAACUGGCGACCUAGAGUGCGGUAGAGGGUAGUGGAAUUCCCGGUGUAGCAGUGAAAUGCGUAGAGAUCGGGAGGAACAUCCGUGGCGAAGGCGACUACCUGGACCAGCACUGACACUGAGGCACGAAAGCGUGGGGAGCAAACAGG
rnacentral:rRNA from 1 species